UGUCGUCUUUAUGUGGCCUUUUAUCUCCAGUAAAAUAAUGUUUUAUUCCCACUGUUAAGUUCUGACACGCCUCACAUAUGCACACACACGCACCAUGAAUUCAGCUAAAAAGCAAAGUCAUUAUCCUCCAAUGGUGACAGCACUGUUUGAAAACGACAUUGGAUUUUAAUGUGGUGCAAGUCAAUUUCAGCGUAUGAAAGGACUUGUGGAAAGAUAAUGCAGGGCCAAUUUACACUCAAUUGAAAUGUGUGUUUCCUUUUGAAUCUGCCCCAAUUCCAUCCUGGCCCAAUGACCAGCUCGAGCUGAAUGUGGGAUGCUUUGCUGAGAGAAUAUCCACUGCUCUAUUACGAAGCCAUUUGAAGAUCGUGGCAUAGACUAACUGGCCCUCUGAGUCUUGGUUACUUUGCAAGGGCAAAUCUAUACAUGCGGUAUUCAGAUUUCACAAACAUAAUUAUGCCACAGCAGUUCAAAGGUUCCAACGUGUACACAUUGGCUGCACGGCUUGUCUACCCUGCAAUGUUAAUGGCACACAUAUAAUCAAGUGCCAAAAAUAUUUGAAAUACGUUCAUAAAAUUGGACCGAGGGAUGUGUUUACCAAUGCAAAUUUUAACACUUAAGGGUUUUUGCGUAGGUGUGUCUUAUAAAAGCUGUCAGCUGGCUUUCAGAACUGCCUAUCUUUUCUGUCAGAAUCAUUCAAUAUUCAAACCCAAAUUAUAGCAAAGUCAGUUAUCAAGACUCUUUGACUUGGCUUAUAUAAUAGCAGACCAUUUCUACACAAAUAGCAUUUGCUUCCCGGUGGAAAUCAUUCAUGGAAAUUGAUACUAAUCCAGAUGCCAAGGCCAAUACGAGACAGUUAGGAAUAUUUGUGGUUCUGAUAGUGAAGAACUUUCUUUCCCCUUGGGCUCGUGUUUAGAUCAGAUGCAUGUUGAACAGAAUUCAGAUCUUUUUUCUUUUGUCUUCUCAGACUUCUGAUCAACAGCAGAGACAUUGUAGCCCGUCGCAGACCAGGUUGAAGCUCUUUGAUAUCCGUGCCGAGCUCAUGGGGGCUCAACCAGAAGACCACCCACACCACAAUGAGGCACAGACUCCUGAAGGAGAGGGGAGACGUGAAGAGCCGAGUCAGGAGAACAUGCCAUCAAGAGAUGGAGUUGGCAGCUGACCAGAAGCUUUCGGAGAGCCUCUCUCUCCUCCUGUUCACUGUCCCUCUCAGGCACCAGAUCGACAAACAGCCCGAGUUCUGACAGCUGUCAUACAGAAUAAUGACAUAUCUGUGCACCUCUGAGUUGGCAAAAUAACAAAAAAAAUUAAUAAAUAAAAAACACACACAAACA
ensembl:lncRNA